UACAGAGGUCCCAAGCGUUGUUCGGAUUCACUGGGCGUAAAGGGUGCGUAGGUGGUGAGGUAAGUCGGAUGUGAAAUCUCCGAGCUCAACUCGGAAAUGGCAUUGGAAACUACCUUGCUCGAGGGUUGGAGGGGGGACUGGAAUGCUUGGUGUAGCAGUGAAAUGCGUAGAGAUGCGGAGGAACACCGAUGGCGAAGGCAGCCCCCUGGGCUAACACUGACGCUCAGGCACGAAAGCGUGGGGAGCAAACAGG
rnacentral:rRNA from 1 species